UCAAGUUAGCAUAGCUGCACAAGGAAAGAAAACCAAGCCCCUACCCGUGCAUAUUACAUUCAGCAGAAGGGGAAGAAAACUCAAGCUCUCACCCGUGUGUGUCAUUUCUUCCGCCAUUUCGUUCCUUUCUUUCCAACUUCAGAACAGCCUUAGCUCUCAUCUCCUCAAGGAGGAGGAACAACAAGCCGGAACACUCUCUGUGUUCUUUAGUUCCACGCGCCCAUUUCAUUGUUUGAUGCUCCAUUUCACACCUUGGGAAGAAGCUUAAAUCAGAUUUCGCCCCUUUGACUUCCAAUGUUUGAUUUUUUCACUUGUUGCUCUUUACUCUUGUUCAGUUGAGUGUGUGACUAAGUCGAAGAAGGGUAGGGAUAGCCAAAUCGUGCAAAACCACAAUUGUAAAGUGACUUUCUCUAAGUGAAGAGGGAGUUAAGGAAAAUAAUAUGAAGUGGGUAUUGAUAUGCUCAUUUCAAUUUCAUUGAAUAGGACUUAUUGAGGUGCAAAGAUGGACUGAGGUUGAGCUUAGAGGUAAGUAGCUAUGACCAUACUUCUUACUCAAUAUUUUCUUCUAAUAAAUGCUCCUUUUUAUUCAAAUGCUUCCUUGGGAUAAAAAAGGUAAAUGUAUAUGCUAUGUAUGAGCCCUUCUUGAUAGCCCAUGUUAAGUAUCCUAUUAAUUAUAAAUGUGUAUAUGAAUGAUGUAAAGCAUGCACAUUCAAGGUUUAAAUCAUGAGAUUUACCAUGCAUGUUUUCUUAAGAAUUAGUGAUUUUCCUUUAUAUAAAGUAUGGCAUGAAAUGCAUCUUUAUGAAAGAAAAUGCAUGUGCAUUAGACUAAGAAAGAUGAUGAAAAUGCUUUCAAUGGAAAGAAAGGAAAGAAAGAGGAAUGAAAUUUUUAUGUAAGAAAAUACUUAAUGGCCAAUGACUGAAUGAUUAUGGUACCAAAGAAAGGAGAAGAUUGUAAUGUCGGAUCGGUCCCAUUGGUAGUGCACCCAUUGGCGCCAUCCUGAUUGAGGGAUUCCCAAUCUGCGACCACGGGCAGAAUCAAGUCCAAAAGUCCACUAAUUCUAACACAUAGGGCGUAAUAGUGUGUACUGGCCAAGGAAAAUGUAACUGAUUAUGAAUGUUUAUUUUAAAUGUUUUAAGCUUGUAUUACUUUCCAAAAGAAAAGAAUAGUUCAUGUAUGAUAUUUUAACUGCACAGUAUACUGCUUACUAAGUAUUAGACUCACUUUUGUGUUAAUGUUUUAAACAUCUAAUUAAUGAUGAGGACAAGGCUGCAAAGGAAGGCACUACUCAGGAAGGAGAGACAGACGCCUAGUGGUAGCCUUGGGAUGGGUCUCUUUUUAUGGUGUUGGGUUUAUUUUGAUAGUUUUGUGUAGUUGUGGACCAUGUAUUUUGGGGGAGAAAUGUUUUGUAGAUCAGGUAUAUGUUCUACUUGAAUGGUAGUUGUGGAUGUUUUUAUUUUGUAACUAAUGGGACUAUCUCCCACCUUGACAAACUAUGUUAUUUUGGAUUGAACUUAUAAAAGAAAAUGGGAAGGUCCCUUUUUAUAAAUUGCCAGGAUGUUAUUCAGGUUUCUUUUAUAAACUGUUGGGAUAUUGUUUAUGUUUAGGAAAAAAAAGCAAGAUGAAAUGUAGCAGCUCCUCACAUUUUUAGGGAGGGGUUGUUACAAAUGUUAAUGGAUAAGUGUUUAUGUUUUGGAAUUA